CUGUAGGCUUGAUCUGAAGUCCACAGAAGUAAAGGGAUAAACCCUUAUCAGCUCUGGCCCAGCCCUUAACACAGCAAGUUCUUUGGCCAAAAGAGGCAUACUAUUACAAGAUCUUCAAGGGACAAACACUAAUUAAGGAUAAUCUUGUAGAAAAUGUUACUUUUUUGGAACUAUUUAACAUGGGAAAUACUGGGGAACUUCCUGAAGAUCUCAAGCAACCUGGCCUACCACCACCGUCCCCUCCCCAUGCGAGUUGGCCAUGUUUAACCAUCCACUUGCCGAUAGGAGGAUUCCAGUCCUCAGAUGCUGCACUGCCCAGAGUGAGAACAUUACCAUCAGGAAUGGGUGCAUGAGAAUUUUCACCUUCUAAAAUGGAGAUUUGUGAUCCAGUGACUUGAACCU